rnacentral:misc_RNA from 1 species
GGGAGCAAAAUCUUGUUGCUUGGGUAAGAGACCCUGCCUUUGUUGAUGCUUUCACAUUGUCCUUGAGAAAUAAGUUUAAGAAUCCUGUUUGUUUUUCCUGGGAUCUUUGCCCAUAUCAUUGUUUGCUUUGUGUGAUAUAUCAUUUCAUGAGUCAGCACAUUCAGUGAAAUGUCAUGGUGAGUGGUGUAAAAUUUCCCUAAAUAGUGUCACUCGCUGAAGAGGAUGAUCUGGUGAUAGAGUUUUCCUGAUAAAUAAAGAUAGGAAUCCAGUAGUGCUUUGUAAUUGCAGGUAUGUGGUUUUGUAACAUCAACACACGAGUCAUGUGGUGCUACCUCUUAAUGGGAUAAUCAGUAGAAUCUACCACCCUUCCAACUCGCAUUUUCACCAGCUUCAGUCCAAACCUGAGAUUGAGCUUCAUGAGUAGUCUGAUAGGCUUUCAUACCAAAUCUAGGAAUUUGGCUAGGUAGAAUAGGAGGAACAGCUUCAAACACACAACUUAGGCUAGAGACAAUGGGGUUGUAAGUCAAUUAUGUGUAUAUAGUCCUCUAUUGCUUCAUAUUUGCCUGAAGUCAUAAUUUAUUGCCUAAUCACUUGCGCUUUGAGUUUCCACAGGAAGCCGGGGCAGAACUACGUUAUGAAGUAAAGGAGCCUAGGCCCUAGGCCCCCCAAAAGUGUUUAAAAUUAAAUGUUUGCCUAUAAAUUUUACUUUUUUUUAAUAUAUAUGUAUAUAUUGUUUAGCUCUUUAAUACUUUCAUAGCUUUGAUUUAGCCCCUACACUUCUAUAUAAAUUUCAUUCAGGUUCUUUAUAUUAUUAUUUCACAUUUUUAUUUUGGCCCUAUAUUUUAUCAAGAUUUCAUUCAUUUUCUUUUAACGUUCAUCCACCCCCCUCUCCCCCACCACCCACCCACCCCCCCACCACACCCCCCCCUCCCAACACCAGAAAAGAUGAAUUUCUAGUUCCGCCCUUGACAGGAAAUGUAUGAUAUAUAGCUAGAAUGUGCAUUUGUUUUAGGUAG